UCCCAAGCGUUGUUCGGAUUCAUUGGGCGUAAAGGGUGCGUAGGUGGCGUCGUACGUCGGGUGUGAAAUCUCGGGGCUUAACUCCGAAACUGCAUUCGAUACUGCGGUGCUUGAGGACUGGAGAGGAGACUGGAAUUUACGGUGUAGCAGUGAAAUGCGUAGAGAUCGUAAGGAAGACCAGUGGCGAAGGCGGGUCUCGGGAAAGUUCCUGACACUGAGGCACGAAGGCCAGGGGAGCAAACGGG
rnacentral:rRNA from 1 species